CUGACCUUAGCUGAGUUGGCAGAGUGAAGGACUGUAGUGGGAACAUCCUGUUAGUCAUCCUUAGGUCGCUGGUUUGAAUCCGGCAGGUCGGA
rnacentral:tRNA from 1 species